rnacentral:rRNA from 1 species
GACGAACGCUGGCGGCGUGCUUAACACAUGCAAGUCGAGCGAGAAACCCUCUUCGGAGGGGAGUACAGCGGCGAACGGGUGAGUAACACGUGGGCAACCUGCCCCAAGGAGCGGGACAACCCGGGGAAACCCGGGCUAAUACCGCAUGUUCCGCAGCGCCUGAAGGUGCUUCGGGAAAUGGUAGCUUCGGCCUCCGCCUUGGGAUGGGCCCGCGGCGCAUUAGCUUGUUGGUGAGGUAAUGGCUCACCAAGGCGACGAUGCGUAGCUGGUCUGAGAGGACGAUCAGCCACACUGGGACUGAGACACGGCCCAGACUCCUACGGGAGGCAGCAGUGGGGAAUCUUGCGCAAUGGGCGGAAGCCUGACGCAGCAACGCCGCGUGA